GACGAACGCUGGCGGCGGGCUUAACACAUGCAAGUCGAACGGAAAGGCCCUGCUUGUGUGGGGUGCUCGAGUGGCGAACGGGUGAGUAACACGUGAGUAACCUGCCCUUGACUUUGGGAUAACUUCAGGAAACUGGGGCUAAUACCGGAUAGGAGCUCCUGCUGCAUGGUGGGGGUUGGAAAGUUUCGGCGGUUGGGGAUGGACUCGCGGCUUAUCAGCUUGUUGGUGGGGUAGUGGCUUACCAAGGCUUUGACGGGUAGCCGGCCUGGGAGGGUGACCGGCCACAUUGGGACUGCGGUACGGCCCAGACUCCUACGGGAGGCAGCAGUGGGGAAUAUUGCACAAUGGGCGGAAGCCUGAUGCAGCAACGCCGCGUGCGGGAUGACGGCCUUCGGGUUGUAAACCGCUUUCGCCUGUGACGAAGCGUGAGUGACGGUAAUGGGUAAAGAAGCACCGGCUAACUACGUG
rnacentral:rRNA from 1 species